AUUUUUCAAGGCACUGUUGAUCACUGUUCCUCCAUGAUGAAGAGACCAUGACGCCAUGUUCUCCAUAUGGGCACCUCUUCUUCUACUCCACCACUAAAAGUUUAUUUGGUUUAUUGUUCUUAUUGAUUAACAUUUAAUUCUUGGCUACUCAUGUCCAGCCUCAUGCUUUAAUUCCUACCGAACAUGCUUAAACCUAUCCAACCUAUAUCUUCAGCAUCUCUCCUGAACUCCAGCCUCUACACAUAAUUGUAUUUUGAAUGUCUCCACCUGGAUGGUCCACAUACACAACAUAUACAAGACCAAACUCAUCUUUCUCCACAGAGCAGCUCCUCCCUAUUUCUAGCUCAGAUGCUGGUACCACCACUAAUCCAUUCUACUUAGGAGGGAAACCUGGAUGUUGUCUUCACCUCUGGCUUGCCCCUCGCUUACCAUCACCACACAUGUAUCUUAUUAGUCACGAAGUCAACUAAGUGUCUUAUUAGCCACUAAGCCAAUUUGCCCCACAAAUCUCUUUUCGUAGCUCCUUCUCUUCAGCCCUAGUAUAGGCUGUCCCCUAAAUGCCUGCAAUAACCUUCUAACCAAUCUCUCUGCUUCUACCCAGCCCCAUCACCCUAAAAUCCAGAAUGUGUCUGGACACACCACAAUAGCACUCCCCUGCUGAAAACCCCUCAUGGGCUCUCUGCUAAAGCUCAUGGAUAUGACACACUCCCAGCCUCUCAUUUACCUGCAGAAAUGAAGAUUUCCUUGUUUGGCUCAACGCCUUUGCUCAUACCACCCCUCUGCCUGGAUUGCCCUUGUGCUCUCUCUUCCCCUUCCCAUGGGUAAUUACUACUUAUUUUUAAAGCAUCUGCUCAGGUAUCAUCUCUUUAUAGAAGUCUUCUUUGGCACCCUUCCCAUGAAGGUGCUCUUCCUCUUUGCUGCCGUAUCUCAUGGACAUAUUUCUACCACCAACUUUAUCCCACUGUAUUUUAUUCACUCAUUCAUGGAUUUUGGGCUCCCUUCCCUAACUCUAGUUUACAAACCUCUAGAGGAUAAUUACCAUCUCUUUUUCAUCUUUCUUUGAUGAUGGCUUCUAGCAUCUAGCUAGGAAGGAACCUAGCUUGCUUCUGUAUCUAGCAAGGAACCUGCCUCAUUGAAAGUUCUCAGUAAGUGUUGGUUGAGUAAAUGACUGUCUCAGUGAAUACAUAAAUUGUUUCUCAACUGGAAGUAGCCUCAAGCAGACCCUCCGGCUCAAUUUUUUUUCAGUCAAAAAUGAAUCUUAAAAGGACAAAUUCAAAUUAACAUCAAUUCUGGACUUAGUAAAAACAACAGAAUAAAAAGAAACUGGUCUUAUCUGCUUUCUCUGAAGCAGGAGGAUGCAGAAGGUAACUUCUGUGUGGCUCUGUACUCUUUACCCCAAGUUCCCCAAAUAUACAAUUUCAUCUGACCCCAGGUGUGUGUGUGUGUGUGUGUGUGUGUGUCUGUGUGUGUGUAAUGUACUAUUCUUAUCUACUAUGGGGUACUCUUAUUUACUCUCACCUAAAUAAAACCAUAAGUAGAAGAUGCACAGAUAUGUAGGAAUUGGGCCAGAAUGAUGGACAGUCUCAGCAUUUACUUCAUUGUGCCCUGUGACUCUCUCUGAGCUCACCCCUUCAUGCAGGAAGCAUCUGGGCUUUCAUACCAGAUUGUGAAAAUUGUUUAUGUGGUGCAUUCCUCUCUUCCAAAUCCCUGUUUACUCACUGUGCCUAAAUCCAGUGCUUUGUGAUAGCUUUCCUGCUGAGUUAGAUUUUCCCAUCGGCCUGUGUGUGUGUGUGUGUGUGUAUGUGUGUGCAUCCAUACAGCCUCAGCCACAGCUUUCACAAAUGCCCAAACUGGGAAUAAUCACUUUUUUGCCUGUUGUCCACAUUGGAGGUUACUCUGGAGAGACUGGUAGUGCUUUCAAGACGCAUCAGUUAGUAUCUCAAUGAGUCAUUCAUUGAAAAAAAAUUAACGUCAAACAAUAGUGGUAAAAUAGCUCACAUUUAUUGAACAUUUACUGUGACAAACAAUGCCAGAUGAUAUACUAAAUGGUUUGUAAGCAUUAUUCAAUUAUUUGCACUUGGCAAAAUAUCUACUACUGUUAUUUGCACUUGACAGAUGAAGAACUGGAGGUUGAGAGAGUUCAAGUAACUUACGACCUUCCACCAGUAAGUGGCAGGGCUGGGAUUCAAACCCAGGUCUGCUUGUAGCUAGAGCCUAGAAUAUUAACUGCUACCCUGUGCUGUCUCCUACCUAAGAGCAAAUGAAACCACUCCCCGUCCAAACGUUUUCAGCAUUUCCUCUUUUUGGUAUAGAUUUUUCUUUUCCAACAUCUUGAUCAAAGGGAGCUGCUGUGGUUUAAGGAGAGAGCUGACUAGGAGCUCCUGUCACUCCACCCCUUGCCUUGCUUGGUCUUUCCAUAGGAUACACAGGAUUUGGAAAUCACUGCUCUAUGAAAGCAGAAACAGCAUGUAUUGCUAUGGCAUCCACAGUGCCUAGAGUAUUUGCACACAGCCUGUGCUCAAUCAAUAUAGUUCUAAAACGGAAGAUUCUCUCUUGUGGUCACCUACAGCAUGGAUUUCCCUAAACUACCCAACAGGACACCAAAGAAUAAACAGCACCUCUGACCUUUGAGCCAUGGAGGGGAGAGUGAUAUCUAUCCGGAAGGUAGAGAUGACGACUUACUUGUACCUGAAACAGAGACUAGGAAGGAGGUCGGCAUGGGGUGCUAUGGCAGUGGCUGGGAGGCUUCCAACUGAUCCAAACUGCUCUUCCUUAAGAGAACUUUGUCUUGGGUUUUGUUUUGUUUUUUUGCUAACUGUGUUUUCCAUGCUUGACAUUACCAGGUGACAGCUUCUCCUCAGUGGAGAAAUUCAUCAUCCCACUGGGAUAAUUCCAGAGUUAUUGUAAGAGUUCCUGCUCCCACCAGAUCAAGCCAAUCAGGAAGCUCCUCCACAUGGGUUGUGCCGGGCUGACUGUUUCCCGCUUGGCCUCUUCCUGCUAUUGUUCUCUGUCAUGUUCUCAGAGGCACAACUACUGAACCCUACCCUUUCCUCUCAGAAGCUGAGGGCUGCAUCAUGGCUUUGGGUCAAGGUAUACUCGGCUCAGAGAUCAAGGCAUCUGGCAGAGAGAGACGGGCCUGAAAUGAAAAUAGAGGCAGGCAGUUCCUGGCCCAGGUGACCGGAGCGGAAAUCACAGAGCUUAAAACACCCAUAAAUGUUGGUGAGCCCUGUGAACGAUGGUUACAUAUCUUAAUCUACAGAAAUACAUUGGGGAAAAAAGUAUAGAAGGAUAUACCUCUGUAUGGGUUCUAUCUGAAUGAUGGUACCAUGGAGACCCGUCUGAGUCAAAUCAUUUCAAAGCCAUCUUUGACCAACUGCUUGCUCUCACAGAACACUUUCAAAAUUGUUAAAGUAGAAGUAAAAUAAAUGAAUAAUCUGAAAUACACAGUGUUGUUGUUUUAUCAGAUUACAUUGUUUAAUCUCCCUUUUCUCCAUAUCAAGAAAGGAAACACUAAUAUUUUUAAGUGAGAAAAAGGACAUUCUGUGAAAUAUAUCUUUUGGGGUCUCUGAGCAAACACACCCAGCACCUAUGCAUGGGAGAAACAAUCCUGAAACGCUGCCUCACCCACCCUGUGGAGUAUUCUCAUCCAAUUUCUAUAUAUAGCCACCACACUUCACAUGCACAAACCCUCCACCCCAUCCACAUGCACACUGUAAUCUUAUGCUUGCAGAAAUUGGAAUGCUGUAAUAAUGCCCUAAAUUUGAGAAAUUCACAAGAAAAGCCAAGAGAUGGUUUCCUGAUUGAAUGAGAAAGGCUGGUUUGGUUGGCGGCAGUGCCUUCACGGCAGGGCAGGCACUGCCCAGCUCUCCGGAGUGUGAUCUGCAUGUCUAAUAAUGGAAUAGGUUCCUGGGAUCAG